rnacentral:rRNA from 1 species
UACGGGGGGGGCAAGCGUUGUUCGGAAUUACUGGGCGCAAAGGGCUCGUAGGCGGCCAACUAAGUCUGACGUGAAAUCCCUCGGCUUAACCGGGGAACUGCGUCCGAUACUGGAUGGCUUGAGUGUGGGAGAGGGAUGCGGAAUUCCAGGUGUAGCGGUGAAAUGCGUAGAUAUCUGGAGGAACACCGGUGGCGAAGGCGGCAUCCUGGACCACGACUGACGCUGAGGAGCGAAAGCCAGGGGAGCAAACGGG